rnacentral:rRNA from 1 species
CCUACGGGAGGCAGCAGUGAGGAAUAUUGGUCAAUGGGCGCGAGCCUGAACCAGCCAAGUCGCGUGAGGGAAGACGGCCCUACGGGUUGUAAACCUCUUUUGCCGGGGAGCAACGGGCGCCACGUGUGGCGCCACUGAGAGUACCCGGAGAAAAAGCAUCGGCUAACUCCGUGCCAGCAGCCGCGGUAAUACGGAGGAUGCGAGCGUUAUCCGGAUUUAUUGGGUUUAAAGGGUGCGUAGGCGGAGCGUUAAGUCAGUGGUCAAAUUGAGGGGCUCAACCCCUUCCCGCCAUUGAAACUGGCGCUCUUGAGUGGAAGAGAAGUAUGCGGAAUGCGUGGUGUAGCGGUGAAAUGCAUAGAUAUCACGCAGAACCCCGAUUGCGAAGGCAGCAUGCCGGCUUCCGACUGACGCUGAAGCACGAAAGCGUGGGGAUCGAACAGGAUUAGAUACCCGAGUAGUC